UACAGAGGGUGCAAACGUUGUUCGGAAUUACUGGGCGUAAAGCGCGUGUAGGCGGCACUGUAGGUCGGAUGUGAAAUCCCGCGGCUCAACCAUGGAAGUGCAUUCGAAACCGCAGAGCUAGAGUAUCGGAGAGGAAGGUGGAAUGCUUGGUGUAGAGGUGAAAUUCGUAGAUAUCAAGCGGAACACCGGUGGCGAAGGCGGCCUUCUGGACGAUUACUGACGCUGAGACGCGAAAGCGUGGGUAGCAAACAGGAUUAGAAACCCCCGUAGUCC
rnacentral:rRNA from 1 species